GAAAUGAGGAUGGAAGAGUGUGCAGAGCCUGAGACACUUCAAUGCCAGGUCCAGAAGCUUGCAGUUUCUCUUCAAGGCCACAAGGAGCCAUAGAAGGUUAUAGAGCAGGGGAGUGCAGCACCAUCAGAGCUGCAAUUGAGCUCCAGGCCUCAGGUGUGUAGCAGACAAAGGCACCCCUAAUUCAAGGGGUGAAUCAGGCAUGGUCUCUACCCUUGCAGAGAGUUUGGGUACCUGAGCCCAUGGGGGACUGGGAAGCUGCUUCCCCACCCCAGUUUCCUCAUCAGCAAAAUGGACCCAGGUAUGUGAUGUAGCAUUUCCUGACCCAAGGGACCCAACAAACAGCUGCGAUAGGAUUUUGGAGGGACCUGUACCCGCACCUCCACCUUCACAAGUUGUGCAUUUAUUUCAUGGUUUAAUGACUUCACCUUCUUUUGGACUUUUAUAUUAUGAAAAAUUUCAAACCUAUAGAAAAGUAGACAGAAUAGUAUCAUGAAUACCCACAUACCUAUCACCCAGAUUUAAUAAAUCUUAACAUUUUGUCAUGCUUCA
rnacentral:lncRNA from 10 species